AAACUCCGUUAUAAAUUCAUAACUUCUUCAUCCGACAUCCGUUUUCGCCUAUCUUUUUAUCGUUUCGCUACAAUCAAUGUGAUCUUCAAUUCUCAUUUAGAAAGUUUUGGCUAAAAACUUCUCGGUCUCAAAUCGAGUAUUCAUGUUGCAUACUGCUAAGUCGAAACUUAAAAAAAUCAUAACUUCCUCAUACAAAGUCAGAUUUGGGCGUUCUUUUUAUGCACACUCUUGGUUUAACGAACUCUACGACUUUUGUUUAUAUCACUAAGGCUAAAUAUCGCUCUAACGUAAAUUUCACUUUUUACGUCAUGCAGUGUUGCCGGUUCUGUCGCGAAACUUCUACAAAUCAUAACUUCUUCGUUAUAACUCGGAUUUUGGCAUUCUAUAUAUAUUCGAAAACCUCAUUUCAACUACUACAACAUUAUCCAAAGAUAUCGAGGUUAUCUAACAUUUCAUUUUGACGCUUAUUUUUUAUUGUUAAUUCAUUUAAGCCACACAACUAAGCACAAAACAUAUAAUACUCAAAUAAUACAUUCUUAUUAUUUCAAAAUGGGUUACAAAGGUUAACCUAGACUAUUACAUUGCUAUUAAUGACAAUCACAGAAACACAAACGUUACAAUUCUCUCCACCUUAGAAUGAUUCCGUCCCUUGAAUCACACAUCAACUAACAAAUGCGGGUAGCGACUCAUCAUGUCACUCUCCGGUCUCCCAGGUGAGAUUUAACCCAUUCGUGUGUUUCCAUCGGACAAGCACUAACUCGACCAUCUUGCGUCGCAACUUCUUAGUCUUUCGGUCAAGGAUUGCCUCUGGUUCUUCAAUCAACUUCUUGUUAUUAUCAAUUCUUAAUUAUGAAAUUGGAAUUAUGUCGGGAACUUCUCCCGUGAACUUUCUCAAAUAACACACAUGAAAAGUGUUAUGAAUUCCAUUCAGUUCUUCUGGUAGUUUGAGCUUGUAAGCUUGGUUCCCAAUCCUCUAAAGAACUUUAAAUGGUCCAAUAAACCUUGGACUUAAUUUUCCCCUUUUACCAAACUUUAUAAGUCCCUUCCACGGCGAGACUUUAAGUAAGACGGAAUCCCCAACUUCAAAAGUUAUUGGUCUUCGCUUUUUGUCGAAUGGUCCAAUAAACCUUGGACUUAAUUUUCCCCUUUUACCAAACUUUAUAAGUCCCUUCCACGGCGAGACUUUAAGUAAGACGGAAUCCCCAACUUCAAAAGUUAUUGGUCUUCGCUUUUUGUCGGCAUAGCUCUUUUAACGAUCCUGAGCUGCUAACAUUCUCUCCCUAAUUAUUUUCAACUUUUCCGCAGUCUGAUGGACUAUCUCCGGUCCCAUAAACUACUUUUCCCCAGCCUCAAGCCAACAAGAUGGCAUAUGACACUUUUGUCCAUACAAAGCUUGAUAAGGUGCCAUCUUUAUGCUCGAGUGGAAACUAUUGCUGUAGGAAAAUUCUACCAGUGGUAAAUGUUCAUCUUAAUUACCUUGGAAUUAUAGGGUACAUGCUCUAAGCAUAUCUUCAAGCGUUUGUAUCGUUCGUUCGCUCUGACCAUCAGUCUGUGGAUGGUAAGCUGUACUCAAACACAACUUGGUACCCAUCUCCUCUUGUAGAUUUUUCCAAAACCUUGAGGUGAAACGGCUAUCACGAUCUGACACAAUCGUUAGCGGAACACCGUGAAGCCUCACAAUUUCCUUCACGUAAGAAUUCCCAAGCUUUUCCGUAGACAAUUUCUCGUUGGCUGCUAUGAAAUGCGCACUCUUAGUGAAUCGAUCAACGACCACCCAAAUCAUGUCAUGACCAUUCUUUGUCCUGGUCAGUUUAGUGACAAAAUCCAUCGUGAUCUCCUCCCAAUUUCCCAUAGGCAUAGGCAAAGGUUCUAAACUCCCGUAUGGUUUCUAAUUUUGUGCCUUAACUUUCGCACAGGCCACACACUCCGCCACAUACUUCGUAAUGUCGAGCUUCAUCGUCGGCCAUCAGUAAUAGGGUUUCAGGUCCCUAUACAUCUUUGUGCUACAGGGAUGAAUGGAGUACAUGGUUUUUUGAGCUUCUUCCAUCAGAAGAUCUUUGACGACUCCUGACUUAGGUACCCAAACCCGAUCUUGGAAUACCUUCAGUCCAUGACCGUUUGUAUCAAAUACCAACGUUUUACCCAAACGUUCCUCUUUCCGGUCAUUCUUUUCAACAGCUUCGCUUUGAGCUUUCUUUAUACUUUCCAAAAUAGUCGAGACAACUUCUAUUCUCAACGCUCUUGGCCUUUUUCUUUCAAGAUUGGCUUUCCAACUGAGAGCAUCAGCAACAACAUUAGCUUUACCGGGAUGGUAAAGUAUCUCACAGUCAUAGUCUUUAAAUAAUUCUAGCCAGCGUCGCUGUCUUAUGUUCAAUUCUUUCUGAAUAAAGAGAUAUUGGAGACUCUUAUGAUGAGUGAAAAAUUUGUACUUUGUUCCAUAGAGGUAAUGCCUCCAUAUUUUCAGAGCGAAAACUACUGCUGCCAACUCUAAAUCAUGAGUCGAGUAGUUCUUUUCAUGUUCUUUCAGCUAUCGAGACGCAUACGCGAUCACCUUAUCUCUCAGGGUCAAAACACAACCCAAUUCAACCCCAGAAGCAUCGCUAUAAACGACGAAGUCUUCAACUCCAUCGGGUAGAGAUAGAAUCGGUGCCUCACAUAGCUUCUUCUUUAGCAACUCAAAAUCUUCUAUGUGCUUGUCAUUCCAAGCAUAAACAGCUCCUUUGUGGGUCAAAGCUAUUAAUGGAUUGGCGAUCGAAGAAAAGCCUUGGAUAAACCUUCAGUAAUAUUCGGCUAAUCUCAAAAAGCUUCGGAUCUCCUUGGGAUUCUUCGGUUGCUCCCACUUUGUCACAACUUCACUCUUUGUCGGAUCAACCAUUAUACCUUCCUGGUUGACCACGUGACCCAAGAAUUGGACUUCUCUAAUCCAAAAAUCAUAUUUGGAGAACUUAGUAUACAACUUCUCAACUUCUCCUUUUUCAAGACGUCCAACACUUCUCUCAAGUGUCUACCAUGCUCUUCUUGGCUCUUUGAAUAAACCAAAAUGUCAUCAAUGAACACUAUCACGCAUUUCUCAAGGAACGGAUUACAAACCCUAUUCAUCAAAUCCAUGAAUGUUGCUGGAGCAUUGGUUAGUCCAAACGACAUAACCAAGAACUCGUAGUGUCCAUAUCGUGUUCUGAAUGCAUUCUUCUCUAUAUCCUGCUCUUUCACCUUCAGCUGAUCAUAUCCUGACCUUAGGUCGAUCCUUGAAAAAUAACUUGAACCUUCUAAUUGAUCGAAUAGGUCAUCAAUCCUCGGCAACGGAUAUCUAUUCUUUAUUGUUUCCUUAUUCAGCUCUCUAUAAUCGAUGUACAUUCUCAUACUUCCAUCUUUCUUCUUCACGAAUAACACCGGAGCUCCCCAGGGUGAUGAACUAGGUCUAAUGAAACCUUUGUCCAAUAACUCCUAAAGUUGCAUCAUCAGCUCCUUCAUCUCCAUCGGUGCUAGUCGGUAAGGUGCUUUUGCUAUUGGCGUGGUUCCUGAUAACAAGUCUAUUCUAAACUCCACUUGUCUAUCGGGCGGUAAUCCAGGAAGAUCUUCGGGAAAUACUUCCGGAUAAUCACAUACCACGGGAAUAUUCUGCAUCACCUUCUUUUCCUUCUUAGCAUCGAUCACGAAUGCUAAGUAUGAUGUACACCCCUUGGUCAAACACUUUCUGGAAGAUCUUCGGGAAAUACUUCAGGAUAAUCACAUACCACGAGAAUAUUCUGCAUCACCUUCUUUUCCUUCUUAGCAUCGAUCAUGAAUGCUAAGUAUGAUGUACACCCCUUGGUCAAACACUUUCUGGCUUUCAUUAGAGAAAUGAUUCCAUAAUUUACUCUGCUUUUAUCUCCAUACACCAUAAACGAUUCCUUCCCAGACGGGUUUACUUUCACUAUUUUUUUCUUGCAUAAAAUUUCGGCAUCAUUGGCGCUAAGCCAAUCCAUUCCCAAAACGAUGUCGAAACUGUUAAGUUCGAUAGGCAAUAAUUCCUCAUGGAACUUAUUCCCAUUCAGAUCAAUUAAUAUGUUUUUCAUACGAUAGCUAACAGGUACAAACUUGCCACUAGCAACUUCGACUAAUAAAGCAUCAUCUAGUCUAACAACAUGCAAAGCUGGUUUUCUACCAAAUUCAUGCGAUAUAAAGGAGUAGUUGGCUCCGGAAUCAAACAAAAUUUGGGCAGGUAAUUUGUUUACAAGAAAGGUACCUGAAGCGACAUCAGCUUCUUCUUUGGCAGCUUCCAGUGUCAUCUGGAAGGCUCUUGCUUUCGGCUUCGAUGGAAUGUUGGGUCUUGUUGCUUCCUUCGUUUUAGGGCAUUCCCUCGACAUGUGACCCUCCUCACCACAACCAUAGCAAACUUUCUUGGGAAGUGUGCAUUCAUUGGCAUAAUGCCCUGGCUUUCCACAUUUGAAGCACGUGGCUUCCCCGCCACAUUUCCCAUGAUGCUUCUUCUUACAUUUAUCGCACCAUUUCGCUUCACCUACUCCACCUCCUCUCGAACUAGACUUCAAGAAUUUACCCAUUUUGCUGGACCCCGAGGAUCCAUCGAUUUUCCUCUUUUCACCAACCUCUGACCUCUCCAGACGUUUCUCCCUGAUCUGGGUCUCAACAUUUCUAGCAGCCCAGAUGGCAGCUUUCAAUGUGGUUGCUUGCUUAACCAUCGGACCAUAGUCCGCUGGUAAUCCGAGAGCAAACUUAUUGACCUUUGAGAGUUCAAUUGGAACUAGAUAUGGAAUAAGCUUCAUCUUCUCCAUAAAACUUGAAGCGUAUUCAGUAACACUCAUCCUCCCAUAUCACUCUGAAACGUUUACAUGCUAGUUCUAAUAUCUUAGACGUACGCUUAGAAUCCUAAACACAUAAGGCUUCCAGAUCCGGUCGGCAACAAACCAUAGAUCCAAACAAAUGAUAUCUUAUAUGGCAACAUAUAACAUUUAGCACAUAAAAGAAUUUUAGGCAACUUUCCUAAAAUAAACUAAUGCCUGUGUCUAAAAUAUAACAGACACACAUCUCACAAUUUUCACUUAGCAUUUUAAGUUGAAGUCUAGAAAUCCUACAAAUUCCUACUUCGCUUAAACUAAUGCUCUGAUACCAACUGUGACAUCCCCAAAAUUACGGCCAGAAAAGACCGGUUUCAUUUAUGCUUUUAAAAUAAUUUCAGAGUAAAUCCUUUUGAUUUAAAAGAGUUGCGGAAUUUGUUCCCAAAAACAAUACAUGAUAAAAUAAUAUUUACCAAAGCAUUUCAUAAAGAAAUGUAUUUUCAUUAUAUAAUCAAAACUCGGGAUGUCAUGUUCCGAUACAGACCAUAAAGCAUAAACGAUAACAUUACAAGUCAUUCAACAAAUAUAUACAUGUACAGACUUGUAAACAAAACAACAUGAUGAUUCAUCCAUCUUAUGCCCUUGCGCCACUUCCUGUAAUACAAAUAAACUGAGUGGGUCAGGCUUGGGAACCUAGUGAGCAUAUAAGGUUUUCAACCCACAAUAAAUAAUUAUAUUUAAUUCAACAAUCAAUAAUAACCCGAUUACCCAUUCCCAUUAUCCUCACUUUACGUCCCUAAAACAACAUCUAUUACAAGGGACCUAAUCUAGGAUUUUCAUCAGGACGGACAUUACUACAAAGAGGCUUCCUUAGCAAUAAAUAUCCCAAAGGCAACCAUGAGGGGGAUAGAGUACACCGGUGAACACAUCGUUCACAACACCUACAGGUUAUGAACCUAUUAGUCUUCCACAUGACCGUCUAGAAAGAGUUCGUGGUCGUCAUCCAUACUCUGCUAAAUGACUAGAUCAACGACAACAACAUCGAGGCCUCUAAUCUGUUUAUUACACACCAACUAUCUACCCAUGUUCUACCCAACAUAUUAGUAGAUAAUAAUAUACAUUUUUAUACAUAGUUUAAAAACCUGUAUAGCAUGCUCAAUCAAUACAUUUUCCACAUAACAGACGAGGCACACAUACAUAACAGGUAUUUCAUAGGGAAUAAAUCAGAUCUGUGAGAUAGAAGAAAGUGAAUUUACAUUUCACACAUAUAAUCAACAGAAUAUACACAUAACACGUAUUUUGUAUAAAACACUUAAUAAUUAUGUGUUAGAAGAAAGUGACUACAUACUCACUUGAUCAGAAGAUGAUCGGACAGCACUACGACUUGUAAAAGUAGUACUCUUCGGUAGAUCUGGAAGAUCUUCACAAAAACCGGGCUCCUCGCGGGCAGAGCUUCGACUCGAAAACUCUUUUCUUCUCGUGAUCUUCGGGCUUCGGGAUUCGAUUCGGGUCUCGGGAUGAUACUAAGGCUUCUGGGGGUUAAAAUAGGGCUUAGAGAGAGUAUCGGGAGUGGGAGAGUAAGAGAUGAGCAACCUAAAUCGGCUGACCCUUGAUUUCUAUUUAUAGAGUAAAAAUGCUAAACUCACCUCGUGAGUUUUUAAUUCUCACCUCGUGAGCUCGAUUCGUCAUUGUGUUCGUCAUGGCCACUUUCCCUGGAAGACGUCCAUCACCUGCUCACCUCGUGAGCCACUUAAUGCUCACCUCGUGAGCUCUGACACAACCUUGGGGUUCACGCCCCGAACUUUAGAAAUACAUAACUUUCACAUACGAGCUCCGUUUUUGACGUUCUUUAUAUCUACGCGUAGGUGAUAUUAUGCUCUACAACUCUCGUUUAAACUCCGUUGGCUAAUUUUGAUUUAUUUUUAUUAUAUUAUUUUUAUAUUAUUUUUAGUAGGCCGGGACAGGAAAACUCCGUUAUAAAUUCAUAACUUCUUCAUCCGACAUCCGUUUUCGCCUAUCUUUUUAUCAUUUCGCUACAAUCAAUGAGAUCUUCAAUUCUCAUUUAGAAAGUUUUGUCUAAAAACCGCUCGGUCUCAAAUCGAGUAUUCAAGUUGCAUACUGCUAAGUCGAAACUUAGAAAAAUCAUAACUUCCUCAUACGAAGUCAGAUUUGGGUCUUCUUUUUACGCACGCUCAUGGUUUAACAAACUCUACGACUUUCGUUUGUAUCACUAAGGCUAAAUAUCGCUCUAACGUAAAUUUCACUUUUUACGUCAUUCAGCGUUGCCGGUUCUGUCGCGAAACUUCGACAGAUCANUAUAUGGAAACCUCAUUUCAACUACUACAACAUUAUCCAAAGAUAUCGAGCUUAUCUAACAUUUCAUUUUGACGCUUAUUUUUUAUUGUUAAUUCAUUUAAGCCACACAACUAAGCACAAA
rnacentral:lncRNA from 1 species